AUGUUAUUCUCCCCCUCCCCCUCCUGCACACGACCAUGUGUCUCCUGGCUGGGCCUUUGGGGACGCGGCCCCUGGCUUUCCCUGGCCUGUGUUCCUGUUGUUCGCUUCUGUCCCAGCGGACCACUGUGUCUGGGGCGCCGCGCCCUUCGGUGCGCUCAGACCUCGCGCCCUCCGACCGGCUUCUCCCAGUCCCCGGGAGGAGGCGCUGUGCCCGGGCUGGCCUCUGGUCCCUCCCAGCCGGUGUCCUGGAGCCCCCAUUCACAAAACCCCUCCUGGAAGAGGACACACACACACACACCCCACACACGCACCCCACACACGCACUACGAGAAGGGGAGUUUGAUCUUGUCUCAUUGGCGUCUCGGGUCUGAAAGGAAAAUCGUUUGGGUAAACAGCCAAGCUUCCAGGCUUAACGCCCGGCUCCCGCCCCCGCCCCUCCAUCCCCUCCUGCCUCCCCCACUCGCCUUCAACCCCACCCGCCACCCACACUCGGCUCCGCAGCCGGGCCCCGAGCGAGCUCCGCGAGUCCUGGCGAGAGCCGAGGGCUCCCCGGGUUCAAAGGGCCGCAGCCCCGAGGCAACGCCCUCCUUGCUGUGCCCCGGGGGGCAGAAGCGGACUGCUGGGCGGUGGGACCGGCCUGGGCCACGAUUUAAAUACAGUGACAAGGAAUAUUGCAAUGUUGAUGUGGCAGUGGACCCGAGAAAAAAGCUGAAGAACUCCGCUUGAGUCACAGACGGGACAAAUAGGGAAAGUAUCACUGACCCCAGAUGUGCCCUUACCUGACUUGGGAGCCUUCGUUGAGAAGCCGGCACUACCAUACCCUUUUGUACAACCAUUGUAAGUGCAAUUCAUGGGUACUCAUAAACGCGAG
rnacentral:lncRNA from 1 species